GGCUAAUGCCGGAUACGCAUGGAACCGCAUGGUUCCGUUGUGAAAGGCGCUGUAAGGCGCCACUAAAAGAUGAGGGUGCGGAACAUUAGUUAGUUGGUGAGGUAAUAGCCCACCAAGACUAUGAUGUUUAGCCGGGUCGAGAGACUGAACGGCCACAUUGGGACUGAGAUACGGCCCAAACUCCUACGGGAGGCAGCAGCU
rnacentral:rRNA from 1 species